CGCACAUUGCGCCCUUUGGCAUUCCGAGGGGCAUGCCCGUUCGAGCGUCAUUAAAUCCAAUCAAGCUCGGCUUGGUAUUGGACGUCGGGGAAUCCCCGCGCCCCAAUUUCGCCGGCUGGCCGUCGCCUGUCUUAGCGUUGUGACUUGUUAUUCGCUUCUGACGGGACCGGACCACGCCGUUAAAACCCCCGAAUUUCAAUCGAAAUUUGAUUAAGGUUGACCUCGGAUCGGGUAGGAAUACCCGCUGAACUUAA
rnacentral:misc_RNA from 1 species